GUUCUCCCCGAGCGCGGCGCGGCGCGUCACAAGCGCGGCGUAAAGGCCGCGCGUGCGUCGUUGCGGAGCGCGGCGUACAAUAACCGCAGCCAAGCCCGUCUUGGCUAGGCAGUGUCAGAUUUAAGGUAGUGCAGGUGCAGAAAGAAGAAAUGCCACGGCGAGCCUGUGUCAUCCCAGCCUGACGCUUUCCUCAGCCCCAGCUGCAGCAAAACAUGUCUCUCCUGUAUCAGCCUCUACAACCAUAGCAGAAAUGGGGCAGCCCGGUGUUGGAAAUUGAAUUCUGCAGGCAGCAAAGAACAAAGGCAGCUAGCAAUUAACUUGUUUAAUGGAAUUAUUUUUCCAACUCCCAUGUUUCAUAAUUGAAAUAAAGCUAUGGUAUCAGUUGUCCAUUGA